rnacentral:misc_RNA from 1 species
UACUCUCACACUCUCCGAUCCUGUGGAUUUGGGGAGCGGUGGACUUGGGUGCUUGCUGCUUUUCCUUGUAGCUCACCUCAAAUGCGUCAGUGCAUCUCUUAGUUGGACAUAGUACGGCGUGAUAAGUGUCUUCGCCGGCGCCUCAUAAUAAGAGGGUGGCCAAUUGGGAGCUCUGUGCUUUCAAACCGUCUUCGGACACUUAUUGACAAC